AACGAACGCUGGCGGCAGGCUUAACACAUGCAAGUCGAGCGCCCCGCAAGGGGAGCGGCAGACGGGUGAGUAACACGUGGGAACAUACCCAUCUCUGCGGAAUAACUCCGGGAAACUGGAGCUAAUACCGCAUACGCCCUUCGGGGGAAAGAUUUAUCGGAGAUGGAUUGGCCCGCGUUGGAUUAGCUAGUUGGUGGGGUAAAGGCCUACCAAGGCGACGAUCCAUAGCUGGUCUGAGAGGAUGAUCAGCCACAUUGGGACUGAGACACGGCCCAAACUCCUACGGGAGGCAGCAGUGGGGAAUAUUGGACAAUGGGCGCAAGCCUGAUCCAGCCAUGCCGCGUGAGUGAUGAAGGCCUUAGGGUUGUAAAGCUCUUUCACCGAUGAAGAUAAUGACGGUAGUCGGAGAAGAAGCCCCGGCUAACUUCGUGCCAGCCGCCGCGGUAA
rnacentral:rRNA from 1 species